ACAGGGGGCUUUUGGAAUGACCACUGUCCUUCAUGUCCUUAUAGACUAAGACAGAAAGAUCGAGAGUUCGGUCCCCAUCUGUACUAUACAGAGAUUCUGUCUCAAAACACAUCAAUAUACAAAAAAGCGGCCUUGAAGCUUAGGAAAGUAGAUCUUUCUUGGGAUCUGUUCUGGUAGGACAUUUUCUCAGGGAGCAGGAAGGGAGAAGACGGGACAGCAACGAGGAACCACAGAGCGGUCUCCAUGGACUCUGCCCUUUUGGACCUCCCCGUGGUUCCGCAAUGGCUUAGGGGAGUUCCCAGAAUGUGUGACGGAGUAGGGAUAGGUCAGAUCUGCAGCAAGGGAAACCUCAAUCUCUGCAAUCCCAGCAAGUUCCUCAACCUUUAAUGAGCCUACGCUUCUUGCUCAGCAAAAAUAGAAAGAAACGUGUCUAAUGGUUUGUAAAGAUAGAACUCUCCCUCUCCUAGUCUCGUGGACAUAGCAUUCAUUACUUUGUCUCACACUUCUCAAGGAUUCGGAUGGAUCGAUCGCUUCUCUAGCCCCACAGUGCCCUUUGCUCCAGAGUGUCUGCAAGCCUUUUAUUCUCAGCCUGCACCCGGGAAUCUCCUCCGACCCGGAAAUCAUUGGGAAAUCGUCUUGUUUUAUUGGCUCCUUUGUGCCAAAUUCUGGCGCAGGUGGCCACAUUCUGUUGUGCCAGGUGUGCCCCUGCCUCAGCCACAAUGAAGAUACCCGAGAGUCCAGGCCAGGAUUCUUCUUCUGCCCAUCACCUUUCCAGGUGAUGAGAGAGUGAGACCAGGACACAAAGCAAAUGACACCAAGGAGCAAAGCAGAGAUCACAAGGAAAAAGAAAAAGAUCAUAGCAGAGAAAUGUCCUCCAAUUCUGGUACUGAGCCUCUGUGAGGAACUGACAAAGAACAGUGUAAGAAAGGAGAAAGGUGAAAGGUGAGCAGGGUGUGGUGGCACAUGCCUGUGAUUCCAGACUUAGAAGGCUGAGGCCAGGGCAUUACUACAGUUUCAAAGCCAGCCUGGGGUACCUAGCGAGCCUCUGGAUAGCCUGGGCUACAGAGUGAGGUCAUAUUUUAAGAAAGGACAACAGGAACUGAAGAGAUGGCUCAGUGACUCCAAGCACUGGCUGUUCAUCCAGACGGCCCAGGUUUGAUCCCCAGAACUCACACUGAAGCUCACAGCCAUCUCUAAUUUCAAUUCCAGGGACCUGACUCUCUUUUCUGACCUCUAUGGGUACAAGGCAUGUAUAUGGUGCACAGACAUACAUGUAAAAACGAACAAAUCUUUUUUUUUAACUUACAAAAAUAAAAAGGUAGCUCAUGUGUAGAAAUUUCUUCUAGUCAGCAGGCAGGUAAAAUCAUGAAUGAAAGAUUUGUUUUGCAUUAACCCUCGUCAAAAAUUGAAAUUCUCUCAGGAGUGUUUUUUUUUUUCUAAAGCAAUGCAUGUAAUUACAACACACCAAUAUGGACUCCUCCCCCCCCCCACCCCCCAUGCCUUCCCUGAAGAAAAUAGACUUUGUCAAGGUCUAUUUGGAGACGAACAUACAGGAGCACAUUCAUGCGUCGGGUCACAGCUUAGCAUAUCUGACAGGUCUCAUACUGACGGUGUGUCUGGUGGUUCCAGAAGAAGUAGCGUGCUAAAUUGCCACCAGUGCAGUGAAAUAGACUGAAGAAAACACACAUGCACACCCCGGAGCAUCGGAGAGAAAACAAAGGACGCACUGGAGAGGGAGAGCGAACCUAACAUGAAAUAAGAUGCCAGAAGGAGGGCCAGACCCAUCCAUCAACGGGCCAUCAAUAAAUGCAAAUGGGAAAGCCUGCUCUGGAAAGAAAAUCUAUCAUAUGCCUUGGAUCAGGCAACGCUUAAUGUCACUUCGAUGUCUCUCAGCCUCAGGUUCCUCCAGGCCCGUCCCACUCUCUACAGUGACAAAUUGAUUUCACAAAAAAACAAUGAAGCCCAUCUCAACCUGUGGCCGUUGCACCACACUUUUCUCUUGAGAUGGUCCCUGGAAGGAAACCCUCAGAAGAGGAUAUAGAACUGGAUUGCUUCCUGUUCUGAUGCUAUCAGGAACAAUAGUCCUCGUGGUGAGUAAUAGCCCUUGGUAUGAAAUGGCAUCAAAAUGUCUAAGGCUUUAGCUAAGCAUACAACCCAGCUACUGAAGAGGCUCAGGCAGUGAGAUGGUUGGAAUGAAAAUGACCCCCUCCAGGCAGUGGUGGUACACACCUUUAAUCCCAGCACUCGGGAGGCAGAGGCAGGCAGAUUUCUGAGUUCGAGGCCAGCCUGGUCUACAAAGUGAGUUCCAGGACAGUCAGGACUACACAGAGAGACCCUGUCUCAAAAAUAAUAAAAAAACAAAAAACAAAAACAAAAAGAAAAGAAAAGAAAAAAAAAAAAGAAGAUGACCCCCAUAGGCUCAUAGGGAGUGACAUUUUUUGAAAGGAUUAGGACUGUAGCCUCCUUGGAGGAUGGAGGAGGUGUGGCCUUACAGAGGAAAGUGUGUCACUGGGGGUGGACUUUGAGGCUUCAGAAGCUCAAGCCAGGCCCCUGUGGCCUACUCUCUUCCUGCUGCCUAUAGAUCCAGAUGUGGAACUCUCAGCCACCAUGUACACCUGUGUGCCACCAAGUUCCCCACCAUGAUGAUAAUGGACUGAACCUCUGAACUCUAAGCCAGACCCAAUGAAAUCCUUUUCUUUUAUAAGAAUUGCCGAGGUCAUGGUGUCUCUUCACAGCAAUACAACAUUGACUGAGCCAGGCAGGAAGAUUGGUUGAGGCCAGGAGCUUAAGGUCAGCCUGAGCAAUAUGAUGAGACCCUGUACUGUGUGACUUUUUCCUAGAGAGACACCAAUGUCAGGCCAAAAAAAGAUUCUGUCCAAGCCUAACUUGGUGAAUCUGUGAAUGUAUUGGAAUUGCUUAUAGGAGUGUGGAUGACUCAAAAUAACUGCAUCUCUGAAAAGCCCACUCCAGCAUGGGUGACACUGUGUCCCUGGAGUGUCCUGUCCAGUUUGCAGUCAGCUCCACCAGAGAGUCUCCUCUCCCUUAGCAAUUGCUUACUGAUUAGAUACACUUGCAAAGGAGCCUUGGGAAACCUGUAACUUUCCUGGCUUCCUGAGCCUUAUAAAUUUCAUUAGCUUCUUGUCUGUCAGGAGCUGUCUUCUUGUUCCAGAGGGAAAAUAUGAAUCAGAGAAAAUGGUUUUACAAUACUGUCUCUAAAAUAAUAACUAAAGGCCAAGUGUGCUCCCCAACACCCAUAAUCUCAGCACUUAGAAGCCUGAGGCAGGAGGAUUGCCCUGAGCUCAAGAUCAGCCUGACAUAAUGGUGAGUACCAUGCCAGCCAGAGAUAUAUCUUUGUUGUUGUUGUUGUUGUUGUGGGUUUUUUAUUUUAUUUUGUUUUGUUUUGUUUUCCAGGACAGAGUUUCUCUGUGUAGCUAGCCCUGGCUGUCCUGGUACUUGCUCUAUAUAGACUAGGCUGGCCUCGAACUCACAGAGAUCUACCUGAAUUUGCCUUCCAAAUGCUAGGAUUGAAGGUGAACCCCCAGCACUUGGUGCCUGCUCUACAGGCACUUUAUCUACCACUUGAGCUACAUUGCUAGCUCAUAAACCAGCUUUUAGUAUCAAUAUAGAACCUUGGGAAUGGGGAGAGAAAAGAAGAAGAAAAGGAAGAAGAAAGUGACAUUCGCAGUGUAGCUAACAGCCAGUGUUGGUGUCUGGAAGCCUUGAGGAGAGUCAGGUCAGCAUCUGGUGGUAAGGGACACAAAGCUGCCAAAGGAGCAGCCUUUCUAGAACUAUCACACUCGAGAGUAUGAUAAAGGGCAGCUCUACCCCCCUACUCUCCACCUCCCACUGACACGGGGGCUGGAGGCAUUGGGUGGCCAAGCCCAAAUCCUAGAAUGUGAAGACCAGUGUGAACUUUCAGAGUUUCUCUGACACCAUCUUGGGGAAGUGGUUCUGAUGAGUGCUACAGUGGAUUUACUCUGUAAGACCUAAGAGGUCUCCCCCACCGGCCUCAUUCAGGAGGAUCUAGAAGCCUUAAAGUCUGUCAUAUCUCUCUGAGAUAGCCUUUGUGGCGGAUGAGGAUAUUUGCUGUCAUGGAAUGAGGCAUCUGGACCAGGAUGCCAAGCCCUAGCAGAGCUUGACGCCUGCUGGGCUAGGCAGACAGAAUCACCUAUGGCUGUAAGGAUGUCAUAGGCAGCUAGGUACACUGGAAAACAUAGCCAGGCAAGAUGGUGUACUUUGUGAGCCCAGCAAGACUUGAAAGUCAUC